GAUUUUCUGAUCUCUGGGACAGCCAGAGAAGAUUUUAACUUUUAAAAUAUUAAUUCCCCUUUUAGCAGUGCUAAAAGUUUAUUAAGAAAAAAAGAAAAAGCUCUAUUUCUCAGCAAUAAUGUAGUUUCCUAAAGCGCAUGACCUCUUUUGGUCAGGUAAGGUAACCUGGAGCUGUGCAUGUGAGUUGGUGAGGGUGUAGCUGAGAGGUCAACGCAGAUUUUUCUGUACCCCUAAUACUUUCUGAAAGUGUGAUCCCAGGGCUUCCGAUCUGUGUUGAUCUGCCUUUUUGGAAGAGAAAAAUAAAUCAAAGGAACAAGUAAGAGCGAAAAGACCGGGAUUCAUCUGUAAAAAUAGAUGGAGGGCAAUCUGUAACUAACCAACACCCUGCAAGCUUCAAAACCCUGAAUAGCAGUCCUCUGGGUGAAGUGUUGGAGCGGGGGACGCGCUGCUGACUGGUGAUAUUCUGCGAUGCAGGAAAACAGCCGAGCACUAAAAUCAGUUUCAUGGGAAAGCGAGCCGGGAACCGCAUCGGCGCAGCAUCUCCGGCCAGCGGAGUGGGGACCGCUCAGCAGGGACAGCCCUGAAACGGAGCAGAGCGGCAGAAAGCUGAGAGCAAUUCCCCUGCUCUGGUUCUUCCAGAAGCAAACCAAGAGCCUGUCUUCGAGAGCUUCCCAGAGCCUGCUGUGCUUAAAGCUUGUCUCUAGAGACUAACAGGUUACCUUGUCAGAAAUGCCCUAUACACGAAGGUUUUUUUGCAAACGCACAAAAGAACAAAAAUCCUCAAAAAUAUCUUUGAAAAGGACUGAGAUUGCCAAGGUUGUAGGUUAUUUGGUUGUGAUAAGGUACAAAUCUUCAAUCAGAAAGGAGCCUCUCUAGCAGGUUGGUUCUCACUAGGGUGUCUUAGUGCUUCCUAGAGUAAAGAUUAAGAAUUAAAUGUAACUUAUUUUUUCCUGCAGAAAUGUCAGAGUAUUUUUAGUUUCCCAGAAUUGUUAAAAUAGUUUGACAAUUAAACACUGAAUUGGUGGGGAAAAGGGGGACAACCCUUUAGUUUUCUUUACUAUGAAAAAUAUUUUUUUAUGUUGUCUUUUCUUUGAAAAACAAAGAUAGUAGCUAAACCCAUCUAUUUAAAAGAUUCCACACACAACCCUUCCCCCCCAUGGAUAGCUUGUUUUUUCGAAAAACCAAAACAACCCAGGAACAUGUUUCUUAAGAUGUAAAUGAUCCUGGAAUGUGUUACUGUUAGUGCAGUUUCACACAUACACACACAAACAGACAAAAACCAAACCAAAACAAAAAAACCCAAUAAUUUGAUUAAAAGCUACUGAGUUGCAAUAGGGAUGGUGUCCCGAAACCAGCUGUGCAGAGUGUGAGGGGCCUGGCUCUAGCCAGGACAUGUAAGUGUGAAACGAAGAGAGAAUUCCAGUUGCGGUGUGUGACUCCUGGAAUGUAAAUCCGAGGGUAACAGCCCACGGCUGGGCAAACACUUGCCGGU